rnacentral:rRNA from 1 species
AUGACGUCAAGUCCUCAUGGCCCUUAUAGGUGGGGCUACACACGUCAUACAAUGGCUGGUACAAAGGGUUGCCAACCCGCGAGGGGGAGCCAAUCCCAUAAAGCCAGUCGUAGUCCGGAUCGCAGUCUGCAACUCGACUGCGUGAAGUCGGAAUCGCUAGUAAUCGUGGAUCAGCAUGUCACGGUGAAUACGUUCCCGGGUCUU